rnacentral:rRNA from 1 species
UGGGGAAUAUUGCGCAAUGGGCGAAAGCCUGACGCAGCAACGCCGCGUGCGGGAUGAAGGCCUUCGGGUUGUAAACCGCUUUCGGCAGGGACGAAAUUGACGGUACCUGCAGAAGAAGCCCCGGCCAACUACGUGCCAGCAGCCGCGGUAACACGUAGGGGGCAAGCGUUGUCCGGAUUUAUUGGGCGUAAAGAGCUCGUAGGCGGCUCACUAAGUCAGCUGUGAAAGCUCCAGGCUCAACCUGGAGAGGCCAGCUGAUACUGGUGUGGCUAGAGUCCGGUAGGGGAGCAUGGAAUUCCUGGUGUAGCGGUGGAAUGCGCAGAUAUCAGGAGGAACACCAGUGGCGAAGGCGGUGCUCUGGGCCGGAACUGACGCUGAGGAGCGAAAGCGUGGGUAGCAAACAGG